UGCCCAGCAACUCCUAUCCCUACCUCCACGCGGUACCGACCGGACACUAUGAGCAACCUUAGGGAAGAUCGGGUAACCAACCCCGGUGGGAACUUUGGUCGUAGGCUGACAGGGAAGG
rfam:Aedes albopictus isolate Foshan contig10908, whole genome shotgun sequence.